ensembl:lncRNA
UGGGGUUUUGGGGUCCCCCUUGGGAUUUUUGGGGUCUCCUUUGGGGUUUUGGGGUUCCCUGUGGGGUUUUAGGUCCCAUAUGGGAUUUUUGGGAUUCCCUAUGGGAUUUUGGAGGUUUUGGGUUUCCUUAUGGGGUUAUGGUGGUCCCAAUGGGAUUCUGGGGUUUCCUAUGGGGUUUUGGGGUUUCCUAUGGGGUUUUGGUGCUCCCAAUGGGAUUUUGAUGCUCUCUAUGGGAUUUUGGGGUUUCCUUUGGGAUUUUGGGGAUUCCUCUGGGUUUUUGGGGUUUCCUAUGGGGUUUUGGGGUUUCCUGUGGGGUUUUUUGGGAUUCCCUAUGGGGUUUUGGGGUGAUGCUGCUGUUUUUGGGGUUUCCUAUGGGUUUUUGAUGCUCCCUAUGGGAUUUUGGGGUUCCCUAUGGGGUUUUGGGGUUUCCUAUGGGGUUUUGGGGCUCCCUUGUGGGCUUUUGAUGCUCCCUAUGGGAUUUUGGGGUUUCCUUUGGGGUUUUGGAGUUUCCUCUGGGUUUUGGGGUUUCCUAUGGGGUUUUGGGGCUCCCUUGUGGGUUUUUGAUGCUCCCUAUGGGAUUUUGGGGUUUCCUUUGGGAUUUUGGGUCUCCCUAUGGGUUUUGGAUGCUCUCUAUGGGAUUUGGGGGUUUCCUUUCGGAUUUUGGGGUUUCCUAUGGGUUUUUGGGUUUUCCUAUGGGAUUUUGGAGCUUCCUUUGGGAUUUUGGGGUUUCCUAUGGGAUUUUGGGUCUCCCUAUGGGUUUUUGAUGCUCUCUAUGGGAUUUUGGGGUUUCCUUUGGGAUUUUGGGGUUUCCUAUGGGUUUUGGUGUUUCCUAUGGGGUUUUGGGGCUCCCUUGUGGGCUUUUCAUGUUCUCCAUGGGAUUUUGGGGUUUCCUAUGGGGUUUUGGGGUUCCCUAUGGGUUUUUGGGGUCCCGUCUGGGGUUUUUGGGGUGACGCUGCUGUUUUUGGGGUCUGCAGAGCGGGACAAAGCCUUCGAGAUGUCGUCCUUCGUGGAGACCAAAGGCUUGGAGCAGCUCACAAAGAGCCCCAUCGAGUUCGUCGAGUAUCCCAAAAAAUGGGGGGGGGGCGACCCCAAAACAUGGGGGGGGGCGACCCCAAAAACUGGGGUGGGGGCCCAAAAGCCCCAAAUAUGGGGAAGACCCCAAAAACGGGGGGC